CUCUUCGGAGGGAAGUGAAGGGAAUGAGCGGCGGACGGGUGAGUAACACGUAAGGAACCUGCCCCAAGGAUUGGGAUAACUCCGAGAAAUCGGAGCUAAUACCGAAUAGUUCUUCAGACCGCAUGGUCUGAUGAUGAAAGGCGCUCCGGCGUCACCUUGGGAUGGCCUUGCGGUGCAUUAGCUAGUUGGUGGGGUAAUGGCCCACCAAGGCGACGAUGCAUAGCCGACCUGAGAGGGUGAUCGGCCACACUGGGACUGAGACACGGCCCAGACUCCUACGGGAGGCAGCAGUAGGGAAUCUUCCACAAUGGACGAAAGUCUGAUGGAGCAACGCCGCGUGAGUGAUGAAGUUUUCGGAUCGUAAAACUCUGUUG
rnacentral:rRNA from 1 species